UGCAAGUCGAACGGAAAGGCCCCUUCGGGGGUACUCGAGUGGCGAACGGGUGAGUAACACGUGGGCAAUCUGCCCUGCACUUCGGGAUAAGCCUGGGAAACUGGGUCUAAUACCGGAUAGGACCUUUAGGCGCAUGUCUUUAGGUGGAAAGCUUUUGCGGUGUGGGAUGGGCCCGCGGCCUAUCAGCUUGUUGGUGGGGUGAUGGCCUACCAAGGCGACGACGGGUAGCCGGCCUGAGAGGGUGUCCGGCCACACUGGGACUGAGAUACGGCCCAGACUCCUACGGGAGGCAGCAGUGGGGAAUAUUGCACAAUGGGCGCAAGCCUGAUGCAGCGACGCCGCGUGGGGGAUGACGGCCUUCGGGUUGUAAACCUCUUUCACCAUCGACGAAGGUUCGGGUUUUCUCGGAUUGACGGUAGGUGGAGAAGAAGCACCGGCCAACUACGUGCCAGCAGCCGCGGUAAUACGUAGGGUGCGAGCGUUGUCCGGAAUUACUGGGCGUAAAGAGCUCGUAGGUGGUUUGUCGCGUUGUUCGUGAAAUCUCACGGCUUAACUGUGAGCGUGCGGGCGAUACGGGCAGACUAGAGUACUGCAGGGGAGACUGGAAUUCCUGGUGUAGCGGUGGAAUGCGCAGAUAUCAGGAGGAACACCGGUGGCGAAGGCGGGUCUCUGGGCAGUAACUGACGCUGAGGAGCGAAAGCGUGGGAGCGAACAGGAUUAGAUACCCUGGUAGUCCACGCCGUAAACGGUGGGUACUAGGUGUGGGUUUCCUUCCUUGGGAUCCGUGCCG
rnacentral:rRNA from 2 species